rnacentral:tRNA from 1 species
GGUUUGGUGGUCUAGUAGUAUGAUUCACCCUUAGGGUCUAUGAGACAAUCUGGGUGAGGUCCCGGGUUCAAUUCCCGGCCAGACCC